AAAAAAAAAAUGUUUCUGUCUGAUACACAGCUCAUUAUGAACAGUUUUCAUGGAAACAGCCUCUAAAGAUAGCGUCUCUGAGGAAACAGUUGACAGCGAUCUGUGUGGCUGGUUGGAUACCACCAGCGUCCGAGAAUGACACGUGGACAAGAAGAGCGAGACGGAUAACACACACCAACGGGAGGGAGUCAUUAAUUAGCAGCGCACACCCAUGUGUUGAUCCUCAGGAUGGGAAGAAACGUGUUGCCAUGGUGAAUGCAUGGAUGUGUGAAUCAGUGUUUGACAGUGGCAUUUCCUUUCUACCAGUUUACAUUCACAGAGAAUUCCCGCUGUUAUAAAGAACAUAUUGCCGCCCAUUGCUAAUAAACAUUGGCAUUCAAUAUAGGCAGCAUUUAGUAGUUCUGUUGAAAUUGUUAAAGUAACGGUCUGUACUGUUUUCCAAUGGUUGGGCUUGUUUGUGGUGGCACUCUAUGUACUUCUAUGCUGAAAGAAUAAACGAUAGAAUUUUCAAGUAGUUUCUUAAGCAAACAUACUACUAAGUCGGUGGUCUUGCUUCUUAGAGAAAUAGUUCUACAUUUUUGGAACUGCGCUUGCUGAGAGUCAUAUCUGUUUACAGGCUGCAGCUGGAGAGCUCGGCUCAGACUAAAGACUGACGGUAAACACCCAUUCAUUACAGUGUCAUGUAUCUUUUUUUAAUACCUAGAAAAACAUCAAAAGACACAUGUGCUGCACAAUUAAGAGUGUGGAAUCAAUCGUAUCAUCCAACUGUAACAAGCAAUUAUUUAUGUAUUUAAACGAAAUAUUGGUGAAAAUGUUUUUCUCUUUUUUUUUUUUUUUUUACUUUCUCAAUUUUUCAAUUGAACUUUGGGUUUUGCUGUUUGGAUACAACGGGACAUUUAAAGAUGUGACUAGAUUUUUGAAACUUUUGAUUGGAGUUUUUUAGGGCUGUCCUGCGGCCAACAUACUCGGCUAACACAUUGUGUUAAACCCAAAAAUGUGAUGAAAUGUAAUUAAUGGACUGAGAGCAAUGAUGUGCAUUAUGAUGACUGGGAAAAUAAUGAACAGAUUAAUUAAUAGUGAAAAUAAUUGUGUUAGCCCGAACACCUUCAUGCCAGAGUUACAGUAUGUUAAUAAAAAAAACACUGGACCUGACUGACUGUAGUUGUUUUACAAUCUCUAUAUUCUAAC
ensembl:lncRNA